AUUGAACGCUGGCGGCAGGCCUAACACAUGCAAGUCGAGCGAGCGGCGGGCGGUGGAGUACUGUUUGGUAACCCGUGUGAUGCCUGGGGAUAACUACUGGAUACCGCAUCUAAUACCGUACACCAUCAGAUUUGCGCUGAUGGGGAUAGCUAGUCGGUGGGGUAACGGCUCACCUAGGCGACGAUCCCUAGCUGGUCUGAGAGGAUGACCGGCCACACUGGGACUGAGACACGGUCCAGACUCCUACGGGAGGCAGCAGUGGGGAAUAUUGCGCAAUGGGCGCAAGCCUGAUGCAGCCAUGCCGCGUGUGUGAAGAAGGCUUUCGGGUUGUAAAGCACUUUCAGCGGAGAGGCGUUACCCGAAGAGGAAGCACCGGCUAACUACGUGCCAGCAGCCGCGAUAAUAC
rnacentral:rRNA from 1 species